rnacentral:rRNA from 1 species
UGCAGUCGAACGAUGAUCUGGAGCUUGCUCCAGGGAUUAGUGGCGAACGGGUGAGUAACACGUGAGUAACCUGCCCUUGACUCUGGGAUAAGCGUUGGAAACGACGUCUAAUACCGGAUAUGACUCCCGUCGGCAUCGGCUGGGGGUGGAAAGAUUUUUUGGUCAAGGAUGGACUCGCGGCCUAUCAGGUAGUUGGUGAGGUAAUGGCUCACCAAGCCGACGACGGGUAGCCGGCCUGAGAGGGUGACCGGCCACACUGGGACUGAGACACGGCCCAGACUCCUACGGGAGGCAGCAGUGGGGAAUAUUGCACAAUGGGCGAAAGCCUGAUGCAGCAACGCCGCGUGAGGGAUGACGGCCUUCGGGUUGUAAACCUCUUUUAGUAGGGAAGAAGCGAAAGUGACGGUACCUGCAGAAAAAGCACCGGCUAACUACGUGCCAGCAGCCGCGGUAAUACGUAGGGUGCAAGCGUUGUCCGGAAUUAUUGGGCGUAAAGAGCUCGUAGGCGGUUUGUCGCGUCUGCUGUGAAAUCUGGGGGCUCAACCCCCAGCCUGCAGUGGGUACGGGCAGACUAGAGUGCGGUAGGGGAGAUUGGAAUUCCUGGUGUAGCGGUGGAAUGCGCAGAUAUCAGGAGGAACACCGAUGGCGAAGGCAGAUCUCUGGGCCGUAACUGACGCUGAGGAGCGAAAGCAUGGGGAGCGAACAGGAUUAGAUACCCUGGUAGUCCAUGCCGUAAACGUUGGGAACUAGAUGUAGGGGCCAUUCCACGGUUUCUGUGUCGCAGCUAACGCAUUAAGU